UGAGGUUACAGGGAACCAGACAGAGGGCCUUCUCGGUAGUGGCGCCCGCCCUGUGGAACGCCCUCCCUUCAGAUGUGAAGGAAAUACGUAGGUAUCUUAUCUUUAAAAGACAUCUGAAGGCAGCCCUGUUUAGGGAAGUUUUUAAUAUUUAAGGCUGUAUUGUUUUUAACACUCUAUUGGGAGCCACCCAGAGUGGCUGGGGAAACUCAGCCAGAUGGGCGGGUUACAAAUAAAUAACAACAACAACAACAACAACAACAACAAUAAUAAUUACAGCAUUUGCAGGUUAUGUGCUUUAAAAAAGCAGAGUUGAAAAUAAAGGGCGCACAUUUAGGUUUGCCCUUCUUUGAAUCUGUGGGAAAGAAGAUGCCGAUUCCCCGCAUCUCUGGCCGACUCCCAGUGAAGAUGUUAACUAAGUCGGAGGACGUGAAAGGGGAUACGCGGUCCCCAAUUCCUUCUCCCUCGUUGAACCUUUGGGCCUUUCAUUUGCUUGUGCUUUCAGAAGCACACCAGACAGUGGGCCCUUUGUCUGAGGGGAAGGCCCGUUCCUUAGCAACCUCGCACCACCAACUUCGGAGGCAGAAGCACACAGGCCGGCCUACUUGGGACAGGAAUGCGUCCUCGGUUUGGCGCUGGGAAUGCCAGGAAUGCAGGCCUGCCCGGAGAGCUGUCCUCGGCUAAGCCAUGCCCUUGCAAAAGGAUCAAGAGGUCAUUCAGCUCCUGGGACAGAAUGCCUCAGUUUUCCCCCAAAGAAAUGGCUCCGUGCCCUACUUCGCUGCAAGUUAAGGAGGGACGGAGACGCAUGCAUGCACACAGUCCCUCCCUGCAUCUCGGCGUCUGCUCAGGUUUGUAAUGUAUUCCAGCAGGCCAUCAAAAGGCCAUCUUCAUAAAUGGUGAACAGCUUCUUUCUCGCUCAAGUCCCCAUGCAGAAAACCUGGGAAUUUGAAUUGGACUGGGCGACUAGCCCCGCCUACAGAGAGUGAAUAUUAUCAACCGUAUAUUUACCUGGACACAAUAAAAAUGAGGGCAGUGGCAUAUGUUCCUCCCAUGAAAAUAGGGACGUCCUAGACUAUUAUUAAGGGACACGGGUGGCGCUGUGGGUUAAACCAGAGCCUAGGACUUGCCGAUCAGAAGGUCAGCGGUUCGAAUCCCUGCUCCUGCCAACCUAGCAGUUCAAAAGCACGUCAAAGUGCAAGUAGAUAAAUUGGUACCGCUCUGGCGGGAAGGUAAAUGGUGUUUCCGUGUGCUGCUCUGGUUUGCCAGAAGCGGCUUAGUCAUGCUGGCCAUAUGACCCGGAAGCUGUAUGUCGGCUCCCUCGGCCAAUAAAGCGAGAUGAGCACCGCAACCCCAGAGUCAGCCACGACUGGACCUAAUGGUCUGGGGUCCCUUUACCUUUAGACUAUUAUUAUUAUUAUUCCCUACACAUCUAACUGGGUUGCUACUCUGGGCGGCUUCCAACAUAUAUAAAAACAUAAUGAAACAUGACACAAAACUCCAUACCCUCCAACAUUUAUCCUAUGAAAAUAGGGACAUCCAAGAAUAAUAAUAAUAAUAAUAAUAAUUUAUUUAUACCCCAUCCAUCUGGCUGAGUUUCCCCAGCCACUCUGGGCUCCCAACAGAAUAUUAAAAACACAAUAAAACAUCAAACAUUAAAAACUCCCCUACCCUUCAACAUUUCUCAGAUGGAAAAAGCUAUGUACUGAGGAAAAGCAGGGCAUUCCCGGAUCAAAUCAGAAACCGGAACAGCUUCUGUAAAUCCAGGACUGUCCCUGGAAAAUAGGGACACUUGGAGGUCUGCCAUGGGUUGUAUCCAAUUCUACUCCAACUCAAAGUAGAGCCAUUGAAAUUGACGGACCUAAGUCAUUUCCACUGACUUCACUGGGUCUGCUUAAAUUGUGUGUCCAACAUUAGAAUAGUAAAGAACCAUUCCUUUCCUGCCUGGUGUUGCAGUCUUAUGAUGAUAAGUUGCAGCAAUCCAAGCACUAGCGCAGAGUCUGGAUGCUGCAGUUGUCCAAGCAGGAGGUCAGCCAGUCUGAAAUGCGCUUGAGAACAUAGCCUGGGUUUGCAGUUUGGAGCUUUAAAACUGCUACAGGGUCAGGAUUCCAUAUUUCUUUUCUGUGUUCUACCAAAGAGACAGCCCCAUUUUAGCUAACUUGGCCUAGGAAUUCCCCCGACCAUUGGGGAGAGUGAGUCUGUUUGUUUUCUCUGUACAGCAGGGCUGGAGAACCUGUUAUUUUUUGGGCAUCCAUCUGCCUUGAGAGACAAUGGAGUGGGCUUCUAGGGGUGAAGUCAAACCACUGGAGAAUCACAGCGCCUGCUGUGGCUGCAGAGACUGGUAACUCACAACUGCUGCCCCCCACAUUGUUUUUGCUGCAUUAGCAGCACCCAAGUGACCUCUCUGGGACCCAAGCCUGGGCAGUGUAUAUGGAGGCCCUGGGCUGUCCAGAUAUUAUUGGACUCCCAUCAGUCCUUGCUGGGGCUGAUAAGAGUUGGAGUCAAUCCUGUUCUACAAGAAGCUUAUUCAGUUUCAGGUACUGUAGGGUGGUAUCCAUCAAAGUUUUACUCAAAGUAGAGCCACUGAAAUUAAUGAACAUGACAAAGUUAGGGCCAUGAAUUUCAAUGGAUCUACUCUGAGUAAAAAUUGGUUUAAAUACCACCUUUUCUUUCUUGCAAAAUAGAUGAAAGGGAAUGGAUUUAUGAAUGAAGAUUUGCAGAAAUAAUACAGGCAGACAGUAGACUGAUGCAUCCAUCCCUACGUCAGGCAGAGACCAGGCAUGACCUUAAAUAGAUUUAGACUCUCCAGUUUUAGCACUGACCUCUAUCAGCCAAAAAUAAAAGCUGUCAGUACCCACUAAUUCUACUGAGCACCUAGGUAACGCACCUAGAAAACGAACCAGGAGGAAUCUGGGAAACCUCCAAAAACCUAUUUUGUUCUACUUCACUAUCUUAAACCGAGUGAUAAAGUUUUGUGUGUCAACAAGCAAAGAGUAUAAUCUGAAGGACCCAAGUAGAAGUUCCAUAUAUGAAUGGUGCAAUCCUAUGUAUAUUUACUUAUUUUUGGAUGACUGCCUUUAUCAGCUACAAAAUUUGUAUCUGAAGGAAAUUACACAAGAUGCGAAGCUCAGGUAUUCAGAAGUCAAUGGAUAAUACAGUAUACAUGACAGGUUUAUUAUACAAGGAAUAUUGAAAUGUCAAUAAAUCUGGCAAAGUAUCUAAUGAAAUAUGAUCUCUUUAACUCCCUACUCCUCUGAUUUGUCAGCAUUUUCAACACAGGACUUAGAUUUAGGUCCCCUGAACAUGUUCAGAGUGCUUUUCCAUUAUUGUUGACUAACCACAGCAUGCAGAUGUGGGAAUAGGCCUUCUAAGCAAGUUUGAGCCCCAGCACCACAUUAUUAAGAUGAACUGCUGACACUUAAUAUGGCUGCAUUUCUGGAAUGCGCACUACUGAAACAUCAUUAUUUCAAUUUUUAACUUGUUUCUUCUCUGUGAUAGAAGAAGGAUAUAUUCCUGCUUCAGCAGAUUUUUUUGGUGGUGGUGGUGGUGGGGAGUUCAACAUGUUCAGAUCUUUAAGGAACUACUAUACAGUAGUUACCACAUUCAUUAAUUAGGACCAGAAUGCAUCAGAUUUGUGAAGAGGGCUUUUGGAAUAAAUUCCCACUAAGCUCUUCUGGGCAGUCUUACUGAUUUCGAGGGACUUUGGCAAUAGCACAUGCUUUGGUGCCCAGCUGCUUGGGAAGAUGACUUCAGAUGAGAUUAGAAGGUUAUGAAAUGUAAGAAGAAUGCCAAGAGGAAAAUAAUUAGGAAUAAUCAGAGUCAAAUGUUCCUUGGACUGUGUUGAAAUUUGCAAGCAGAAAAGAAAUCAGGGACAAUCAACAUAAAACCUGCAGCAAAUAUUUGUUGUGAUAAUGUGCAAAGCACAAGUUGAAAGAAAACAGCAUUUUGAGGGUGAAUUGCUUUGGAUUUUUUUUACACGUGAACUGAUGACCUCUGCUAGAGUUUCAGCUGUUUCAGAUAUACAUGCCCUAUAUAGCUGAAAUGCAAGUGAUGUCUUGCAUGUGUGAAUCAGCUGUCGCAGAUUUAGAUCUGCAGGCUAUCACAGCGCUGGGUUACUUAUUAGGCAAACUAGGGAUUACCCACAUAGAGCGCAUUGCAGUAGUCCAAGCGGGAGAUAACCAGCUCAUGUACCACUCUGGCGAGUGCGCAGGCAGGUAGAGUCUCAGUCGGUGUACCAAAUGGAGCUGCCCUGGACACAGAAUUGACCUGUGCCUCCAUGGACAACUGUUAAGUCCACAAUGACUCCCAGGCUGUGCACCUGGUCCUUUAGGGGCACAGUUACCCCAUUCAGGACCAGGGAGUUCCCCACACCUGGCCAUCUCCUGCCACCCAGAAUCUUGCUGGCCCUUAUUGACUUAUUUUACUCCUCCUGGUUGUACCAGUCGACCUCAAAUGCCCAUUUGCCUUUUGGGUCUGAUUAUCUUCCAAUAUAUUAAUUUGUAACCAUAGUUUUAAUGUGCUUUUAUUUAUUUAUUUAAACCGACCCCUUUCUAUUAUCUUUGAUAUGGACUUUAAAAUUUUUUUAUAAUAAAAUAUUGUGUUUGAUGGAUUAAGUAGGUUUUUUUUUAAAGGAGUAGGGAUUCUUUUCUCCUCCCUCUUUUUGUUUUUUCUGUAUAUACUAAAACUAUCAUACAAGUUCGGGAGAUUUUUUUUUUGGGGGGGGGAACCAAUUACGGUGGUACCUCGGGUUACAGACGCUUCAGCUUACAGACUCCGCUAACCCAGAAAUAGUACCUCGGGCUAACAACUUUGCUUCAGGAUGAGAACAGAAAUCGUGUGGCGGCAGCGGGAGGCCCCAUUUGCUAAAGUGGUGCUUCAGGUUAAGAACGGACCUUCAGAACGAAUUAAGUUCUUAAUCCGAGGUACCACUGUAUGGGUGUUGCAGCCCAGCAACAUUGGAAGGGCACCAGGUUAGGAAAGGCUGCUGAUUAUUAUUGUAUAGCCUCAUCUGCCUCAUCUUUCUCUUCUUAAAAAACAAAUCUAAACAAAAUAUGAACAUAAAAAACCCUUCAGCAUCACCCUGAAUUGGAAGAAGGAUUAUCAUUAUUUUAUUAUCCUGUUUCUUUCCCUAAUGAAAACAAGGCAGGUAAAACCAGAGAUUUGUACAACCAGCCACCAUGGGUCUGCCAGUCAGACCUGGCUUUGUCAAAUGCCAUGAAUUCUACAACACAAUCACUAAUCACACUUCUGAAGAAAUCCCCAUGUGGAUGGGACCGGCUCUAGGAAAUCCUGUAGCAAAUUACCCUGACCAUCCAGUGAGCAACCCCCUCCUGGGCAUCUUACUUUAGAGAAAGCUACUGAAAUCUCCAAUUCCCUGCCUUGGUUUAGAAGACCUUAUGCUACCUGAUGCAGCAAAAUGCAUUCCAGAUUCCCAGGAUGCCAAAGUACACAUCCUGCUCUCCUUCUUCCCCUUGCCACCAGCCAGCCACCUUCUCUCUCGUUCAGGGUGGAAUCUUGUUGUCUCAUCCAACCCCACUAAUUUCCAGUAAGCCCAGUCACCAUUGAAGCCACAGGACCCUGUGUGAGCAUAAGCUGGCUCAGACUGGCCUCUCAGAGCUCUGGCUAGUUUGCAUCCCUCCCGCCAGCAUUCCUUAGCCUGCUGUGCAAAAAUAGAAGGGCAGCUUUGUGUGAGGUCACCAGGCUCACAAGGAAGUCUAUCAGGACACUGUGGGUUGGGGGGGGGGCAAACGACGACAUUCCAGUUGCCAGCUAUUUGGACCUUUUCCAUUGUAAAUACCUUACCUUUGGGAAUGUCAUUCCCCUCCUUUUUCUCUCAAAGGGGUUGGAAUCUAAAAGCAUAGGAAAGGGGCAAACUGUUUUGCUUGCUUGCUUAGUGCUGAAACAAAGUAAGAGCCCAUCUUGUAGGUGGCAACUGAAGGAAGAAAGAGAGAUUUCAAGUUGGUCAGACAGAUCAUUAUCAGAAUGAAAUAACAGUUGUGGUUUAAAAUAUUUGUUGCUAUUCAUUUGAAAUGUAAAAUGUAGAAGUUCACAGUACAGACAAGAUAUCUUAGCCUUUGUGGACUUAUUUAAAAACCCAGGGACUUGCCAAAAUAGGUAGAUAUGUUAUAAAGCACAAGUGCAGCUCAGUGUGACUUACAUUACGUUAACCAUUCCGAUAUCUUACAAAGGAACCCCAAAGAAAAAUAUGAUCUUUUCAUUAUUGAUUCUGUCAGUAAUGCACAUAUAUUUUUCAUUUUCACUAAUGUAGCUAUCAGGCUAUGUGGCAUGAUGAAUUACAAGUUCAAAGGCUUCAGUUGUUUCUGUUAUUAGUUGAUACUCAGGGGGCUUAAAAAUAAUGCCCCAAACUUAAUGAAUAUGUGAAGUAAAUAUAGUACCUAAUAACCUUACAGAUGUGUACUUUUAAUCUUAUAGUACAAAAAAGAGUCUCCUCUCUCUGGAAGAAGUCCCAUCCCUCCCUCUUCCUCAAAGUAGAGCUUUUUUUUUAGCUUGGGGGAAAGAAGGAAGGGCAUGGCUAUAAAUCCAAAUCACUUUUUUUAUGAGCAGAGGACAGGCAUUCCUCUUUUGAGCUUCCCCCUCUCAAAUACUUAUCCCUUUAUCUGAAAUUCCAUUCCAUGGUAAAGCUGUGUAGUUGUAGAUGCUGAGGAUAUGUUGUUGUUGUUUAGUCGUUUAGUCGUGUCUGACUCUUUGUGACCCCAUGGACCAGAGCAUGCCAGGCACUUCUGUCUUCCACUGCCUCCCGCAGUUUGGUCAGACUCAUGUUUGUAGCUUCGAGAACACUGUCCAACCAUCUCGUCCUCUGUCAUCCCCUUCUCCUUGUGCCCUCCAUCUUUCCCAACAUCAGGGUCUUUUCCAGGGAGUCUUCUCUUCUCAUGAGGUGCCCAAAGUACUGGAGCCUCAGCUUCACGAUCUGUCCUUCCAGUGAGCACUCAGGGCUGAUUUCCUUCAGAAUGGAGAUGUUUGAUCUUCUUGCAGUCCAUGGGACUCUCAAGAGUCUCCUCCAGCACCAUAGUUCAAAAGCAUCAAUUCUUCGGCGAUCAGCCUUCUUUCUGGUCCAGCUCUCACUUCCAUACAUCACUAUUGGGAAAACCAUAGCUUUAACAAUACGGACCUUUGUCAGCAAGGUGACGUCUCUACUUUUUAAGAUGGUGUCUAGGUUUGCCAUCGCCUUUCUCCCAAGGAGCAGGCGUCUUUUAAUUUCGUGACUGCUGUCGCCAUCUGCAGUGAUCAUGGAGCCCAAGAAAGUAAAAUCUCUCACUGCCUCCAUUUCUUCCCCUUCUAUUUGCCAGGAGGUGAUGGGACCAGUGGCCAUGAUCUUCCUUUUUUUGAUGUUGAGCUUCAGACCAUAUUUUGCGCUCUCCUCUUUCACCCUCAUUAAAAGGUUCUUUAAUUCCUCCUCACUUUCUGCCAUCAAGGUUGUAUCAUCUGCAUAUCUGAGGUUGUUGAUAUUUCUUGCUGAGGAUAUAUACAGCUGCAAUAUACUCGGAGUCGAGUGUGGAUUUCAUGCUCUUUAUUCAGCUUAUAGUAGUGAGGAAUAGAAGUUCCCCCAAAAUGCCUGCUUUAUAUACAUUAUUUACACAAUGGGCCCCACUUGAUUGGCUAAUUCUGGGAUUCUCCUGUAGGCCAAUUAGGUUGCAGAUUCACUUCCACCUGGAGUUGGAUUGGGUGGCUCCUGCAGACCAAUCAGACUGCUGCAUUCCGGAUCCUAUUGUUCUAGGACCAAUCAGACUGCUGCAUUCUGAAUCCUACUGUUCUAGGACCAAUCAGACUGCUGCAUUCUGAAUCCUAUUGUUCUAGGACCAAUCAGACUGCUGCAUUUUGGAUCCUAUUCAACUCAGAACAUAACAACAGCCCAGAGAAUGAAUGCAGGAGCUAAUCUCUGCUUCUUCACAUUUUUACCCCUUCCCCUUUUUUUGCUUUUAUUUUAGGUACUCUCUCCCUGAAGCACCAUGACACUUAACAAAAGUUGGUCUUAGUGCUGUUCCUUUCCCUUGUUGUGCUUCCUGCUUACAGAACAGCCGUUUCCAAACUGUGCCCAGUGAGAGAGGCUGAGGUAUGUCUUGAAAAAUUGCACGCGCUUGUUAGAUGCUCAGUCAUCAGAGUGGGGUAAGCCUAGGAAGCCUGCCUUCCAUCUGCCAGAAUACAGGCAGUGGCAACAUCAUUCAAGACACAGGCAGUAUGCACUGGCUAUGGACUGGGGAGAAAUUAGAUUCAGUUCCCAUUUAAAAACAAACCGUACAUAAUCUGUACUUUCUGAAAAAAAGAUGUGAACUGAAACAUGUUCAAAAUUUGCACGGCGCUGAAUUUGACAAUGCAGCUCCCAGCAAAAUGAUGUGUACAUAAAUGCAUAUGCUGGGAUAAAGUAUUCCCGCCCCCCUUUUAAUUGCAAGCCGAUGUGAAAAUGUGGAGAGCUGUGGUUUUGAUCAGGAAAAUUAAAAAUGGAGAGAAACCAAAACCAACAGAUUCCCCUACCCCUAGUCUUGCCUCCCCUGCAACACCAUCACCUUUGCCUAGAGAUCAUGAUCCCAUCCCUCUCUGACUGGGGAAAGGAAACCUGGAGGCAAUAUUAAAAGACCUUUUCCUGGUUUGAAAGGAAGGUGCUUGCCUAUUGUUUUGGGUUCUGAUCAAGACAAUAUAUAUGUAUCUUUCUGAGUGGAAGAGUGAAGUGAGCCUCUGCUUUGAAUCCUACCUAUCAAUGCCAGCUUUGCAGCUAAUGGGCUCUUCUGUGCCCACUAGCCAGUUAAGUUGGCAGUACUGCAUGCCCCUGUCCGCAUGCCAAGCUAAGCUGAUUUCCAAGCAUCGCACACCCCAGCUGUUUGCCUGCCUGACUAAACUGCAGUGCCAGCCAUACUGGCCUUCAUCCUUCGUUAAUGAGGUGGGGCUGCUUCUUUAAAUAUUAUUCUGUUUGAGCUUCCUACGACUCUGUGGUACAGCCAGUGGCUUUCUCUCUUCACUUGGCUAUUUAUGGUCUCCAUAAUAUUAACAGUAAUUCACUGGCCUAUGUUUGGGCUGUUUAUCUUCCUCUGGGCAGCUUAGGCAGGGAUUAUAGGAAGCCUUUCACAGGCCUCGCGCUACAGAGCCUACAUUUUCCCCUUUGGUUCUAGGGGCUCGCAAGCAGUCAACAGCUGGUGACAGACAAUGGGUGGUGGAGUUGUUGACGUCCCCCUCCUACUGCUAAGGUACCACAAUGACACCUGCUUGUUUGUGGGGUGAAGGAGAGGAGGGGCACAAGGAAUUCAGCUGUGGGUCAGAUGUGUGGGUGCUCCUUUGUCUCAGUUUUAUCUAGCAGUCCACUAUAAAUAUCAAAUGUUCCAAUCUUCUCUCAUACUGAGAAGAGCCAUCUUAGCCUGCGGUUGUUAGGUAAAGGGACCCCUGACCAUUAGGUCCAGUUGUGACCGACUCUGGGGUUGCGGCGCUCAUCUCGUUUUAUUGGCUGAGGGAGCCGGCGUACAGCUUCCGGGUCAUGUGGCCAGCAUCACUAAGCCGCUUCUGGCGAACCAGAGCAGUGCACAGAAACGCCGUUUACCUUCCCGCCAGAGCAGUACCUAUUUAUCUACUUGCACUUUGAGGCGCUUUCGAACUGCUAGGUUGGCAGGAGCAGGGACUGAGCAACAGGAGCUCACCCCGUCGCAAGGAUUCGAACCGCCGACCUUCUGAUCGGCAAGUCCUAGGCUCUGUGGUUUAACCCACAGCGCCACCCGCAUCUGAAUGGGUAGAAAGCAGGUUUGUCAAGAUCACUGAGAUCUGUGUGUGCUAAGAAUACAACAGAAGGUGCAGGUUUGGGGGGAAGAGGCAGAGAAGGCCGAGCUGAGUUUUGUGGUACAUAAGCAAAAGGCGAGUGCUUUGGCAUGGCAGUUUAUUGCCAAUUCAGUGGUGUGCAUGCAAGCACAGUUUGCACAUUGUCCAGAUCACAUUGUGCUCACUGAAAAAAUUCCCAUUUAAUCUGGGUUUACUGUUUCUGCUGAAAAUCUGUUACGGAAGAAGAAGGAGAAGGAGAAGGAGAAGGAGAAGGAGAAGGAGAAGAAGAAGAAAGUAGGGGGGAAUGGUAAAUACAGAUUAAACGAGAUAGAGGGAAUAUCAGGUGGCAUUUUCAUGAGGACAGCAUUGUGUGAAAUUGCAACAGCACUGAAUCCACAAUCAAUUUCCACGUAGAAGUUUGCCUUUCUCCAGAGAUCUGCUGCAGCAGCAGUGGACUUGCUUUGUGGCAGGGUGUUACAUCUGUGCUGUGCCAGAAAACCCUUUUGUGUUUGAAAGCAUGUACGCCGGCUCCCUCAGCCAAUAAAGUGAGAUGAGCGCCGCAACCCCAGAGUCAGUCACAACUGGACCUAAUGGUCAGGGGUCCCUUUACCUUUACCUUUACCCAUUCGGAACACAUCAGCAUGUUUCACCUCCUCUCCUGCUACUCUAUGCAGCCAGACAGCAAUAUCUGUAACAAAAGGAAGGUACCUGGUUAGUAGGUUUAGUACAGUGUUUCCCAGACUUGGGAUUCCAGCUGUUUUCAGACUACAAUUCCCAUCAUCACUGGUCCAGCUGGCUAGGGAUGAUGUGAGUUGUAGUCCAAAAACAGCUGGAGACCCAAGUUUGGGAAACACUGGUUUAGUACCUGGUUAGACCUGGCUAGUAGGUCUGACCAACUUUUGGCAGUCUUUAUGGACCUGUUAACUGUCUCCUAUGCAAACCUCCAAAUUUUCAAUGAUGUAAUAUCAGCCAGAAAUUAGAAUGACAGUAGAAUGAUAUUAGAAUGCUCACCAGGUGACCUUCCUAAUAGUAUUAGUCUUGGGGAAAAUGCAUGUACUGGUGAAAACAACAGGCAAAAUGCAUUAAAUUGAGGAAAACUGCUUUGCAAAAAUACGGAUUGCCAAAAAAGGCUGUACAAUAGGAGAAAUCCACACUAAAACAGUGAUGAAUUUUUAUGAAGACUUAAAAAAAAAGCAAAAAGCAAAAUGUGGAGAAUUGAAUUUAAGAUUGUAAACAUGAGAAACUGAAAUGGACAAGGGUUGCCCAUAUCUAUUAAUGACACACCAGUACAAGCAACACCGCUUUUGGAUGUGGGCAGUGGAGAUUCAGGUGCUUCCACAUAGAAAUAAGCCCAGUUUUGCACAUGCAAACCUACCUGAAGAUGGGCUGCGAUAGGUAACUUGAUGACAGCUUUCGCUAGGCCAAGGCCCACUCACCAAACUCCCCAUUAAUGACAUUACACCCUCUACAAACAGGCGUUAACGCAUAGGCAUGAAUAGAUUCUCUGUUACAUGCCCCAAUCAUUUAUUUAACCUCCGAGGUGGCUUUGCCUCAUCCCCCCCGGCAGAAAGCAGAACAAAAUGCUUUCUAUUUAUAUUUCCUCCCAGACACAGGCGUCCUUGUCUCCUGGCUUUGCCUUUGACACCAUUACACACUGCUCGAUUCUGCUGUCACUAGCGCGCACCAGUGCAAACGGACAGAAACUGAGUUAGGGCAGCGUAACAUUGGCACACACGAGACCCAAAUCCAUCCCAUGAUGCUAAAUAAAGCACGAAUGGAGGAAACCGCACGUAGGUAACCACAGACUCCCCUCCCCAUUGAAUUCUCAGACCCAGAAAUGUUUUGCACGUGCAGAAGCUGUAUUGUCUCUUGGUUUUUAAGAAAGGGGGUUUCUAGACAGUCUCUGUACCAGGGGGUGGUGGGUGGAUGGUAGACAGCCUUUCAUAGGGCCAGUUAGCCUGGGGACGAGGUUAGGGGUGGGAUGAGAAAUUCAAUUUAGUUGGCAUUUACAGGCAAAUUUUUCUUAAUCCACACUUUCCAAAGCAACAUAUAGACUUUUAUGUUUAAACUGAAAUGGAUGUAUUGGUGGUUACUUUAUUUAUUGUCCCCCCUCUCCCCGCCCAAUAUAACAGGCUUUAUUAAUAGUCUUACAAUACAUUACAUAUAUACAGUACAUCUUGUAGAGUAAAUUGAGAUUUCAAUCAUAUACAUGCAAAAAUGUGUAUAUUAGCAUAAAUUCGUCCUAAAGUGCUGGUGAAUUUUCAUGAGGAUAUUAUUAUUAUUAAAAUCACAAACUGAUAUGGAAAUGUGGAAAAGUAUAUUUAAGCUUGGCGGGAAAUAGAAACUGAGAGAAACCAGUAUUGACAUACUCACCCAUUUCUAGCUGAUAGUGAUCUAAUUUAUUUGCUUGUGUGUUUUAUGAGAUUUAUAUUGUGCCACAUGUCUCCAAAGGAGCCUUCAAGGCAGUUGGAAGAAUGGAAACCCAGUCUCCACUACAAAGACACUGAUUCUUGUGUCAUCAUUAAUUUUAUCCCUCUCUAGGGAGUGGGGAGGCCCUGACUUGCAGCUGACAUAGGAUCUCUUGCGAUUGCCAUUUGUCAACAAGACCCUAGAAGCAUUUAUAGUUCUCGGGCAACCAGGAGAAGGCCAGAGUCAACCUAUCAGAGCAGGAUCAUGCAAAUGUUCUCACAGACCAAAUAAGAGGCCGCAGCUCCUUUGUCUGGCAGCUGUUAUCAAAAACAGCUUAGAGAGAGAUCCUGCUGCCCCAACUGAUAGUAGAGCAUGGUUCAGAAUGUGUACCCUUCCACCACCCCCCCAGACACUAAGAAGAUUAGAUUAUUAUUUUUUUAAGAUAAUUUAUUACGGUCAAAGACCUGCUCGCAUAACACAAUAAAAACAGCGUUCAUAAAGAUAAAAUAUACAAUCAGAGCAGACUGCAGCAAUAGCUCAUGAGUUAAAAUUGAGAUAUAUACAUACACCCGUACAAAUGAGAUUUGGGCUACCAUAAAAAUUGACCCUGAGGCGCCCCAAAGGGUGACUUCAGCAUUUCCCUAGUAAGCUAUUUUAUUCUAGAGGAUGAUCUGUGCCUACAAAUCUGGGCGCAGAAUCUGGCUACCAGCCAGGUCGUCUUGUGAUCUUUGCCUAAGAGGAGAGAAUUAAGUUUAGACUUGUCUGAAAGAUGGGCGACCCUCUUCAGGAAAGGAUCAAUGGUGACUCUACGAAUCUUAACAUAAAAAGGACAUCUAAAAAAAAUAUGUUCAAGGUUUCCUAUUUCCUCUAAUGGGCAGGCGCAAAGUCUCUGUGCUAUAAGAGCCUUCUUUAAGGCUCUUAUAUAAGAGCCUUCCAGAACAGGUGAGGGCAAGGCUGAGCUUCUAGCAAGAGUGAAAGCCCUUCUUGGGUUUCUGGAUGCAAGGAAAUAGAGAUAUGUUGCUGGAGCGGCUACAUAUCUCCCGUUUACUAUGAUUCUGAGAAGAUUAGUUUACUUGGGCUUCUAAGUGCCCCACUUGAAGCUCAACAUCAAAAAAAUCAAGAUCAUGGCCACUGGUCCCAUCACCUCCUGGCAAAUAGAAGGGAAAGAAAUGGAGGCAGUGAGAGAUUUUACUUUCUUGGGCUCCAUGAUCACUGCAGAUGGUGACAGCAGUCACGAAAUUAAAAGACGCCUGCUUCUUGGGAGAAAAGCAAUGGCGAACCUAGACAGCAUCUUAAAAAGCAGAGACAUCACCUUGCCGACAAAGGUCUGUGUAGUUAAAGCUAUGGUUUUCCCAGUAGUGAUAUAUGGAAGUGAGAGCUGGACCAUAAAGAAGGCUGAUCACUGAAGAAUUGAUGCUUUUGAAUUAUGGUGCUGGAGGAGACUCUUGAGAGUCCCAUGGACCGCAAGAAGAUCAAACCUAUCCAUUCUGAAGGAAAGCAGCCCUGAGUGCUCACUGGAAGGAUAAAUCCUGAAGCUGAGGCUCCAAUACUUUGGCCACCUCAUGAGAAGAGAAGACUCCCUGGAAAAGACCCUGAUGUUGGGAAAGAUGGAGGGCACAAGGAGAAGGGGACGACAGAGGAUGAGAUGGUUGGACAGUUUUCUCGAAGCUACCAGCAUGAGUUUGACUAAGCUGCGGGAGGCGGUGGAGGACAGGGGUGCCUGGCGUGCUCUGAUCCAGGGGGUCACAAAGAGUCGGACACGACUAAACGACUAAACAACAACAACAACAACAGAAUCCCCUUGGAUCAAAUGGCACAAACUGAACUUUAAACAAAACAGUUUGUUUUUUCCACAAAAUACACAGAACAUGGUAUCGUAUCCUCCAACCCUCCCGAUUUUCCAAGGACAACCCAGAAUUGCAGAAGCCCUCCCAGCUUCUGACUGGAUCCUGGAAUGUCUCGUUUUGAUGCCACACUCCUGUGCCAACCAGCUGGCACCUGCCAGAGCACGACACCAGAAGAAGCACACCCCGAUUUUCAUCAGUGGAAUGUUGGAGGGUAUGUGCUACUCCCCUCCCAAGUGACCCAGAAACAUCACAAAAAGGGGCAGAAUGGGGCGGUGGUUGGAAUGGGGUGCUUGCAGGCUUUUUCCGAUGGUGUUUCAAAUACAGUGGUACCUCGGGUUAAGUACUUAAUUCGUUCUGGAGGUCCGUUCUUAACCUGAAACUGUUCUUAACCUGAAGCACCACUUCAGCUAAUGGGGCCUCCGGCUGCCGCCAGAGCAUGAUUUCUGUUCUCAUCCUGAAGCAAAGUUCUUAACCCAAGGUACUAUUUCUGGGUUAGCGGAGUCUGUAACCUGAAGCAUAUGUAACCUGAAGCCUAUGUAACCCGAGGUACCACUGUAUAAGUGAUUUCACUGAUGUUCAUGGUGCCUCGGAACAUAACCUCUGCGUAAAUGGGGGGUUGCCUGUUUUGCAGUGAAAAUACGUAAGCGGUUGUUUCUAGCUUCUAAACUACUUACUUACUAAAGUAGGCCAUCAGCGUCUCUUACAUGUUGGAAGCCUAGACCAGUUUAAAAUCAGCCAUAUUUCCUUAUUCCUUCCUGGAAGAUUUCUUAUGUGGGCUUUAGGUUAGCUUUCCCAGCUAACUCCAACUGAAGACCCUAAACACAGGACGUGGCUAAACCUUUAUAGAUCUUUGCCUGUGAAACUGACACAGUGCCUCUUCUGCGCUAGGAAGCUGGAACGGGUGAAGCCAGGGUCACAAGGAUCAACCUUGGUUGCGCACUUAGGAAGGAAGGGUGUGGAAGGAAUGCAGGAUGCAGGAAGGGCCACUAAGAUUCGGGGGUAAAAUGAAGGUCAACUUGAACAUUUUAUGCAUUUCCUACCGUUUAACAUUAACCUUCCCAACUGCCCGCGACAUUCAAGUUGUUCUUUUGAUUCUAAAAUACAGUGGUACUUCGGGUUACAUACGCUUCAGGUUACAGACUCCGCUAACCCAGAAAUAGUACCUCAGGUUAAGAACUUUGCUUCAGGAUGAGAACAGAAACCGUUCUCUAGCGGCGCAGCAGCAGCGGGAGGCCCCAUUAGCUAAAGUGGUGCUUCAGGUUAAGAACAGUUUCAGGUUAAGAACGGACCUCUAGAACGAAUUAAGUUCUUAACCCGAGGUACUACUGUAUCAUGUUCUGAAUGCUGGUUAACAUAUGAGAAAAGGUUUUGGCAAAGGAAUGGUUUCUUAGAAAGCCGGACUUUGGACUUGCAGCAACAAUAUUUACCGCAAUUGUGUCAAUAAUCUGUAGGCACUUCAUCAGACAUCAUAUAAGUUGAACGAUGGGUUUCACUAUCACCCAUUGUGAUAGUAGUGAUGGCCACCAACUUCGAUGGCUUUAAAAGGGAAUUAGAGCAAAUCAUGGCAGAUGAGGCUUCUAAUGGUUCCAAGUUGUAAUGGCUAUACAGUACCUCCAUUAUUGGAGACAGCAUGGCUCUGAAUGAAUGCCAGCUGCUGAGGAACAUGAACAAAAGAGGUUAGGGUUGCCAGAUUUUAAAAAAUAAAAACCAUGAUACCCCAAGAUACUCCGCCUUUCGCCCCGGAUGUCAAUUCUGCCUUUGAGAUAUAUAUAUAUAUAUAUAUAUAUAUAUAUAUAUAUAUAUAUAUAUACGUUUUAACCACUUCUUAUGCAUUUCUUAACUUUAUAUUGCCUUUACAUCUCUUAACAAAUCAUCCUUCCCCUUCUCCAUUUUUGCAAUACUUCCAAUAAUAUUCCUCACAAAACUUCUUGCAAACCUACAAACGUCAUCUGAUCCUCACAAAUUUCAAGUAGUCCGUAAAUUUACUCCAGUCUUCUGCGAAUUUAUGGUCCCGCCGGUUUCAAAUCCUUCCUGUUAGUUUAUCUAGUUCUGCAUAGUCCAUUAACUUCAUUCUCCAUUCUUCAAGUCAGUUCUGCCUUUGAAAGCCCAUAUGUUUGGACAUAUGGCAGCCCUAUUGUCCACUAUGGAAACAGAAUAUCAGACCCUCCAAGUGUCCCUAUUUUCCACGACAGUCCUAGAUUUACAGUUUCUGAUUUGAUCCUGGAACGCCCCGCUUUUCCUAAGGACAUCCCUAUUUCAUCAGAGAAAUAUUGGAGCGUAUGGUAUUAUGCGACCCUCGAGCCAAGGAGAUAAGUAACUACACAACCUUCAGAAGACUUCUAAAGGCAGUCCUAUAUGGGGAAGGUGUUUUAAAUGUUUUAUUAUGUUUUUAUAUAUUUUGGAAGCCACCCAGAGUAGCUGGAGCAACCCAGUCAGAUAGGUGGAGUAUAAAUAAUAAAAUUGUUAUUGAACAGGAUAUACCUAUUUUCAUUGGAGAAAUGUUGGAGGGUUUGGAAUAUUGGACUAAAUUGGUCAGAUCCUGCAGGGUUGCUUUUUUUGAGUGGCCUUCAUAUACAACAACCAAAAUGUCAUUUACUGAGGGGCUCAUGACUGGAGGAGAUGGAGGAAUGUCUUUGCUGGCAUUACUAGAUCAUGGGUAGGCAAACUAAGGCCUGGGGGCCGGAUCCAGCCCAAUUGUCUUCUAAAUCCAGCCUGUGGACAGUCCAGGAAUCAGCAUGUUUUUACAUGAGUAGAAUGUGUGCUUUUAUUUAAAAUGCAUCUCUGAGUUAUUUGUGGGGCCUGCCUGGUGUUUUUAUAUGAGUAGAAUGUGUGCUUUUAUUUAAAAUGCAUCUCUGGGUUAUUUGUGGGGCAUAGGAAUUUGUUCAUUCCCCCCCCCCCAAAAAAUAGUUCGUUCCCCCACUAGGUCUGAGGGACAGUGGGACUUCUGAAAAAGUUUGCUGACCCCUGUACCAGAUGUUUAAGGCACCAGUUGCUACUGCCAGAAAGAAUCCAUUAUCACCACCAACAAAAAGAAUAAAGCAGUAAAUAAAUAACAUUGAGAACUAUCAGAAACUUAUUUUCUGCAGUGAAAUAUAUUUAUGCCACCCACACCCUCAUGCCCAGAGGAGGUUGCUUUUCUCAAUAGUCUAUUGUGGAAUAUAUAGCUGAGUUAACAACCCACAAACCCACCUGUCCUCAAAGGUCACAAAAGCAGUAUUCUCUGCAGGGGCAGGACUCAGCGAGCUUGAGAAUUAUAGCUUAGGAAGCCAAGUGGGCGGAAAGUUGUUAACACUCGCUGGGACAGAGGAUGGAGGAGGCAAAUCACCCCACCCACAAGCAAUGGAACCUUGGACAUUGUCUCCACACGUCAGACUGCGACAUUGAAGGGAGCCAGGUGAGACUUCCUUGGUGCCAAAAGAAGACAUUUCACACCUUCUGUUAUUUUCAGUCAAAAUAACCAGGGCAUUCGAAAGAAAAUAUACUCUGGCUUGAAAAACAAACUUCAUGUUUAUGCUUUCCAUGGUAUGAUCUUCCAAACCAAUCAGGAGAGGAAAUAAGCAAUUAUUGCUGUUCUUUGAAUGGGUCUAUGUGGGGCACCAGGGUUCCUUGCAGCCAAAGAUGCCCCAUUUUUCUCCUUGUGGUUGGGACGUGGCACAGACUGGUGUGUCCUUGUGUAACCACCAGUGGCAUUAAUCUACUGACAACAUGUUGGUGGAGUUGGGAUCCUCUUAAGUCAGGGAUUCUAGACUAGCAUAGUCAAUGAUAUGGGAAGAUGGGAGUUGAACAACAUUGAGAGGGUCACAAUACCCCCAAUUCUUAGCUUACUUUUAAUUCUCAAAGCCCAUGGAAUCAAGCACUUCAGCGGUGGUAAUAGUAGUGAUUGCUCAGGUAUGUGCAAACUCCAUUCUGAAACCUUCCCUCAAAAUAUAUUUUAACAUUUUACCUUGCCUCUUUUCAUAGUCGGUCUGGGGGCCUUUCGGUAGCCAUUAAUUUACCGUAUAUUUGAGCUUUAAUUUUUACCAGGUUCAUCAUUUUACAAUUUUACAAGCUAAGAGAAAGAAUGCAAUAUCCCUUACCAGGUCUGAAUAUCUUAUAGUAGAAUUUGAGCAUACUACUUAAGGUCUGGCUUCCAGGAUAUAUUCCUUUCCAGCUGACAAAACAGCAAAUUCUUUUAUUCGUUAAAAGGGCUCUGGGAACAUGAUAUUGGACAAGUUGUACAAGAUGGUGUCUGGACUAACUUGUGGAAUAAACAACUUGUAAAAUCUGUCUCUGCAAUGGCCAGAGAAUGUUCCUUAAGAAGGAUCCAUUGCUGGUAUCUAACUCCACUCAAUGCCACCUAGUUCAGUUCUGAGUGUUAUAACUGUUAUAUACAGUAUGGGCUAAGGGGCUCAUAUAUACAUAAGUGUUGGGAAUGUCUGGCCAAUGCAUCACAUUGGACCAUGAUUUUUAAGGAGAUCACUGCGAUUUCAGAGCAAACCGUAUCAUUCAGUUGGCACUGAAUAUAUAGGAGGUGGAAGAAUGAAGAUUUUGAAAACAAAUCAUUCCUGUAAGGCUGGAGACAGAAAGAAAGUUUGAAACUGUCAGGUACACUUACUUUGGAUGUGUGGCUCCACAGAUUUUGGAACAACAGUAUUGCAGAAAAAAUGGAUAUUUACUGCAAAUUUAGCCAAGGGGAAAGCAAAGCCAAUGUACUUUUUCUUCGCCAUUUGGAAUCCAUUUAUGAAUGUAUUAAAAUGCCUGGACCAAAACUAGAUGUGUCAAAUACAUUUCUCCAAUUGUAGAGAACUGAUCUUCUCCUGAAACAGAACAUAAAGGAAAUGGCAAUUAUUCACACAAUUUUUUAAUACAAGAAUACAUGGAUAUGAUUAUGCUUAGUGAAACUCUAGUGUGUGCGUUACUUACAUUUGCUUAUUGUUAAUUACCUCUUCAUCUGUACAGCAUACCGUUGUCCUAUGUUUUUUGCAAAUGUAAGAAAACUUUGUAUGCCACGUUAAUGUUUAAUAAAUUUGAGAAUUAAAAGCAACAACAGCAAGCCACCACGUUGUUUCUGAGGCAAAAUGUGCUUCUUUGCUUCAUCAUAAUUUAUUUAUCAGAAUGCAAGACUUUUACAUGUUUGUUUUGCUUCUACGGUUAAAUAAAAUAACAAAGAUGAGGAUUUUCUAUAUUUCCAUCUGCAAAUGACUCCACAAACACAAGCUGAUCUAUUAAACAAAGUCCUUUCCAGUACCAAUAGGAACUGGACAGAAAGGUACUUUGAGGCGCAGAAUGAAGGCUCAAUCCAGAAUACAUACCACGGCCAACUCAAAGAAACUCAGGAGCUAUGAAGAUCAGACCUUUGAGGUCUUCCAUCUUUCUUUCCAUUAGGUUGGGUUUCGGGAGAGGGUUGAUUUACUAAAUAAAUUUAGCAUGUCUGCGUCUCUUUUUCCUUGCAGCUUGGGUUUGUCAUAAAGCAUAUCCUCCAGCUCAGUGGGCUUAAACAUUUCCAAGACCGCAUCACACCUUUUAGGGCUGUCACAUCGCACCCCAGAGGUCUGGCCUUACGUGCCUGUAUGUCCUGCCAUGCGGCAGGAGGGAAAUGAGAGAGAUGUGGCUUGUCUCUCAAAUUAUUUCCAUGGCUGUGAUGUCCCUUCCUUUCUUCCACCCAUGAAAAUGAGCAGGAAAGCAAAUAUGAUGCCUAAGAUAGGUCCAUAGGGAGAAACUGGUGAAAGGUACUGUAACUAAGGGAUGUGGGUGGCGCUGUGGGUUAAACCACAGAGUCUAGGACUUGCCAAUCAGAAGGUCGGCGGUUCGAAUCCCUGCGACGGGGUGAGCUCCCGUUACUCAGUCCCUGCUCCUGCCAACCUAGCAGUUUGAAAGCACAUCAAAAGUGCAAGUAGGUAAAUAGGUACCACUCCGUUGGGAAGGUAAACGGUGUUUCUAUGCACUGCUCUGGUCACCAGAAGCGGCUUAGUCAUGCUGGCCACAUGACCCGGAAGCUGUAUGCUGGCUUCCUCGGCCAAUAAAGCGAGAUGAGCGCCGCAACCCCAGAGUCGGUCACAACUGGACCUAAUGGUCAGGACUCCCUUUACCUUUACCUUUACCUUUACUGCAACUAAGUUGUCUCCCUGUCAUGACUACUGAACCUGACCCGCUUUACUGCCCCAGGGAAGGCUCUGGUGAGGGUGAAGAUGCAAACUCCUCAAGGAGGAACAUUCAGCAUUUCCUCCUGUGGCCUCCUGUGGGGACAUACCUCUUCCAACUCCCUCAGGCUCUGAGGACGACUCCCCAGUAACUUCUUUGUCUCCUCUGUGUCACAAAAACCAGAGAUUAUAUUUUAGAACUGGACAAGGACCUGGUAAAUGCACCACCAUCUCCUUUAGGAGUCAGGGCUAACUGAUGAACAGGACUUGGAGCUGCAACUCCUCACUGAGACAACAUCUUUCCCAUUGCCCAAGAUGUGGAGCCAGUAGAACUCACUUGGAGCUUUCCAUGGUCCUGAUAAAGCCUGCCUGAUGAGGCUGUGUCGUCAUCUUCUUCUUCUUCUUCUUCUCUUGCUUACCUGUGAUUUUACCUGUGGGCUUAAUGAGUACACUUCACCUGCUGUAAUCUUUCCUAAGUGCUACCACUUGCCUUAAGAAUAGAACUGAACAGAAUAUUCUCAGCACAUCUAAGAAUUUAAAGAUACAGAUCAGAUCUCACUCUUAACCCUAACUUUCAGUGUGGGACCCACUCUUAUUUUUGUUCUUUUCUCCUCCUCUUCUCCAUCAUUCUGCUGCUUACGUUCUCCAUGCAACAUGGCUGGAACUUUCUCUACCGAUAAGCAAAGGCCCAGUUGCAGCCAUAUUAGUGUGCUGGUCCCGUGGGCUAACCGAGAGGCGAGGUCCGAGUCCAGUCCGAGGUCAAAGGUGCAGUAUGGAGGCAGUCCGAAGAAGUUGAAGCUGGAUGCAGGGCAGGUAGUAGGGUGAGGUCAGGAGCUCUGGCAGGAUAGCAGGACAGGGUUCAGGCAGGAACUGAAAAUCAACAAAGUUGCUCCCACAACUUGGGACUGAGGCUGGCUGGCUUUUAUCUGCCUCAUGGCACAGGGUGGCCCCGAUCCUCAGGUGACUCGCCUCUCCUGGCCUGGAGGCGAUCACUCCUCCUGCGGGAACUUAGUUCCCUCCGCCUCUCUGCCCUGAGCCUCUGCAGCUCAGGAGAAGCUGGAGGGUUACCGGACCCAGAGGUAACCUCAGCUUCCCCUGACGGGGCUGAGAGUGGAGCACCUGCAGGCAAUGGGUCCUCCACCCCCUCAGGAGCCAGAGCAGACUCAGCUGGUGCCUGCACCUGAGGAUCCAGCACAGGUGAGGACCCUUCAGGCUCAAGCCCCAGCCCCGGCUCAGCUGGUUCUGGAGGCGGGGACUCCUGUGCAGGCUGGGAUUCUUCAGGUUCAGCAUCCGAAUCUGAAUCCCAGGCCAUCACAAUUAGGUUCUCUUCCCCUCUCGAGAACACACUGUACAUAAAUUUAUUUCUUCAUACCCUUCUUUUCCUGCAACAAAGAUCUUUAAGAAGGUAAAGAGAGGGAUUUCCACUGGUAUUACUCACUUGCUAGGCUGUGAUACACCAGCUGAAGACCAGGUGCUCUGUUGGUAUUCAUUUAAUAGGUGGAGGCCAGCCUUCCUCAGUAGUGCUCUCUUGAUGCUUUGGACUACAUUUCCCAUCAUCCCCAGCUGGCUGAUAGUCAGGGUUGAAAGAAGUUGUAGUCCAGAAUAAUGGGAGGGCACACUUUUCUCACACUUUGCACUAACUGCAUUUAAAAGCCCAGCUCUUUUUCAGAUUUGGCUCAUUGACCAAAUCCGCUCCUUCUGGCACAAACAUACUGCUGCACAUGUUCGCUCACCUUCAGAACAAAAAGAGCACAGCAUUGCAGACAGCUUAGGCUGUGGCUAAUCAUCCUGAACUGCCUUCAAAACAUAUUUAGCCCUUGUCUUCAGAGUCUAGACUAGAACAUUUUAACAAGCAGCACUGGACAUUUAGCUCCAGACAGAGCUGUCCACUCACACAAUGUUUUGGGGAUUGUGUUGGAAGGCAGACCCUCCAAGUGUCCCUAUUUUCCAGGGACAGUCCCAGAUUUACAGAAACCAUACCAGUUUCUGAUUCGAUCUCAGAAUGUCCCACUUUCCCGUAGGAUGUCCCUAUUUUCAUCAGAGAAAUAUUGGAGCGUAUGGUAUUAUGUGACCCUCGAGCCAUCUGAAGGGAGCCCUGUAUAGGGAAGGUUGUUUUUUUAAUGUUUAGUAUUUUAUUAUGUUUUUAUAUAUGUUGGAAGAUGUCCAGAGUGGCUGGGAUAACAACAACAACAACAACAACAACAACAACAACAACAACAACAAUUUUAUUUAAUUUGUUUAUUUAAUAAUAAAUUUUAUUUAUGUAUGUAUGUAUGUAUGUAUGUAUGUAUGUAUUUAUCGGUUUAUUUAUUAUUAAUAAUAAUGCAAUAAAGGUAAAGGUACCUCUGACCAUUAGGUCCAGUCGUGGACGACUCUGGGGUAGCGUGCUCAUCUCGCUCUAUAGGCCGAGGGAGCCGGCAUUUGUCCGCAGACAGCUUCUGGGUCAUGUGGGCAGCAUGACUAAGCCGCUUCUGGCGAACCAGAGCAGCGCACAGAAACACUGUUUACCUUCCUGCCGGAGCGGUACCUAUUUAUCUACUUGCACUUUGAGGUGCUUUCGAACUGCUAGGUGGGCAGGAGCAGGGACCGAGCAACGGGAGCUCACUCCGUUGUGGGGAUUCGAACCGCCGACCUUCUGAUCGGCAAGCCCUAGGCUCUGUGAUUUAGACCCGCAUUCCCAAGCCCUAGGCUCUGUGACUUAGACCACAGCGCCAUCUGCAUCCCUAAUAAUGCAAAAGGAUGUCCCUAUUUUAAUCAGAGAAAUGUUGGAGGGUAUGGGGAGGACCAUUAAUUACACAGAGCUGGGGCCGUGUUACAGCAACAGGGCUGAAGGCCUGCAGGCAACUUGUUAGUCAAGUCAGGAGGCAGGUAGCCAAGCUGUCAAUCUCAGAACAGCUCGGUUGAUGCCUAUGAUGCAGACUGGAGAGAAGGCCUUUCUGGUUGCGGUGCCCUAUGUAUGGAAUGCCCUGCCCAGGGAGGCUUGCCAGGCACCAACCAUGAUGUCAUUCCAGUGCCAGGCAAUGCUGUUUGCUCAGGUAGAAACAUGCAUGUAAAGUACAGUUAAAGCACAUGGCUUCUCCCAGGGCAUCCUGAGAACAGUAGUUUGUUAAGGGUGCUGGGAAUUAUAGCUCUGAGAAGGGUAAACUGCAGUUCUCAGGAUUCUUUGGGGAAAGCCAUAUUUCUGAAAUGUACAGUGUGGAUGGGACCAUAAUGGCACAUAACUGGCUUGAAUGAGAUUUUUUUUUAUUACUUUUUUUUUUUUACCAACAACCAAAACACAGUGAGACCCGCCCCCAGGCGGCUGAUACACUGGGUAUACAUAAUCAAUAAUAACAUAUUCAAAUCAACCAUAUGUACAAUUCUAUGUACAUUAACACUCCUCCCGCCACAAGGUUUAUUUAACUUUUAACAUUUUAAUUGCCCCAAAUUGUUCAGACCUGCCCAAAUAUUUCAAUAUCUUCUGAAACCAAUCCUCCUCCUUCUCACUGACCUUAAACCCUUUCAUUCUGUGUAUCUUCACAGUUAGAUAUUCUAAAAUUAUAAUAUUUUUCAGUUUUUCCUCCAUUGGUUCACCCCUAGCUCUUCUGCAUUUUUCCAAUUACUCGCUAAAACCUGUCUGGCUGCAAUUACCAUCAGUUUUACCCAUUUAUAUUCCUCUUUCGUUUCUAGCUCCGUGCUACUCAGGCUAAUAAGAACCAUUAAUUUAGAUAUUUCCACCUUCCUACCCACAAUUCCCAAUAUUUCUAUACCAAUCUGUUUCCAGAAUUCAUUAACUAACGGACAAUCCCACCACAUAUGGCUUGAAUGAGAUUUAAUCUGACCUGCUAUAUCUUUAUACUGAAUCUUCAUGCUGUUGUUUGGUUCACUUGUUGCUUUAAACAUGUGAUUUGAGAUUGACCUGAUACACUGUCCUGGGAGUUUCUCAGAAGGGUGGUCUAACACAUUUCAUAAAUAAGGAAAUGCCUGACCUUUUGAGAUACUCAGACUGUAGAGCUAGACCAGAGUCGGCAGCCCUUUUGGUCCCAUGUAGCCAUAUAACAACUUCUGGCCAUCUGCAAUGAUGGUGCUAAAGUUUGUUCUAGCAGCUCCCUUUGCUUUAAGCUACCACGAAGGAGCAGAAAGGAAAGUCUGGAUUCCACUGCUAGAAUUCUCACUUAGAGACCUCAGGCUCCUGACAUAGGCAGCUGGUACUUAUGGGGCCCAAUUCACAAGCCUUGACUUAACAGUCCAGCUUAGAUAUGGUCUGGUACUUUGUUCCUAUAAACAUCUUGAUUCUCGUUAAGGAACUGGAAAGUAAAUACAGAUAUAGAUAUAUAAAGGCAAGGACAGAAUGCACUAGGAAGCUGUCUGCUAGCUCAAGUCCCAUUAAAAUGAAUAGGAUCUAGUAUGCUCUGGGUAGCUCAGUUGGUUAGAGUGUGGUGCUGAUAACAUCAAGGUUGGAGGUUCGAUCCCCAUAUGGGACAUCGACAUAUUCCUGCAUUGCAGGGGGUUGGACUAGAUGAUCCUUAGGGUACCUUCCAACUUUACAGUUCUAUGAUUUAGAGGACAAAUUUUUUAAAAGACAAAUUUUGUACUAUUUGGUUUGACUUUGUUGAAUAUAUAGUAAAAUUUAAAAAAUCCCAAUAGAAUACCAGAUCAGUGUGAACUUAAUAAUAAUAGUAAUAAGAAUAACAAUAACAAUAGCAAUAGUAAUAGCAAUAAUAAUAAUUUUAUUAUUUAUUAAUACCCUGCCCAUCUGGCUGGGUUGCCCCAGUCAGUCUGGAUGGGGUGGUUUCCAACACAUAUAAGAACAUAACAAAACAUCAAACAUUAAAAACUUCCUCAUACAUGUCUUAUAAAAGUUGUAUAGUUAUUUAUCUCCUUGACAUCUGAUAGGAAGGUAUUCCACAGGGAGGGUGCUACUGCGAGAAGGCCCUCUGCCUGGUUCCCUGUAAUUUGGGGGAACUGGCAGAAGGCCCUCGGAGGUGGACCUCAGUGUCCAGGCUGAAUGAUGGGGAUGGAGACUCUCCUUCAGAUAUACAGCCAUUUAGGGCUUUAAAGUUCAGCACCAGCACUUUGAAUAGUGGUCAGAAACAUAUUGAGAGCCAGUGUAGAUCCUUUAGGACUGGUGUCAUAUAGAAUCAAUAAGUCAGCGGUUGGUUCUUUUGAGAAUCUGAUGCACUUGAUGGACACAAUGGGUCAUGAUUUACCAAACAUUUGUGAUGCAACAUAUUUUAAUGCAAUAGUUCUAUAUUUUAAAGGUUUUUGGGGAAAGGGGCAGGGGAUCCAGGCCCCGGUGCAAGAGACCCAGAGUUCCUUGGGUCACUGAAUAACAAUAUCAAUUCUCAGAAUCUGGUUCUGCAAUACCUGUAUAUAUGUAGCACCAAAGUUAACUUGCGAGUUAACUUGCAUUGCAACUAAAGCUUCAGUUUGGCAAGUCUCUCUCAUUUUCACCUUAAAACAGUCCAGGUAUGAAGAUGCUGGCCCUUCUGAAUCUGUCUCGUUCACUUUUUCCCUGUUCAGGUGGAGGAGUCUGGCUCCUGGCAGCUGUUCCUGUUGCACUUGGAGGCUGAUGAAAAACAACCCAUGAAGGCCAGUCUGUUUAAGUAGCAUUUAUAUUGGUGUGCUGGCAUAAUUUUUAUUUUUCGAAAGGAUACCAUCCUGCUCAGCAGUCUCAUACAAAACU
rnacentral:lncRNA from 1 species